CAUGAUCAUUGCUUCAGCCACACCAUCUCCCACACAUUCACCUACAUCAUCUUCCUCUUCACCUUCCUCCUCCCCCUAGCUCUCUGGCUGAAACAAGCAUCCUGACUGAAUGUCUCACUUCUGUUCAAAUGUCUAUUUAUCCGUUUAACCCAUAUAAAAAGGAAACUUCUGAAGAAAUUAUAUUUUUUUAAAGAAUCAAAAAUGAAAUCAGGAAUAACUAUUUAAUGAAGAUAUACAGGAUAAACAAUGUUAUUUAUCAUCAUUGUUUUGAUUACAGAGAUAACGAUUGCUAGGUCUCCAUUUUCAUCAUUAGUAGUAUUAAUAUCAAGUUCAUUGUCAGGUUUUGCUUAAAGCAUCACUUGUUUAAUUUUCAUUGCAUCAAGUUGACAUCAUUCAUGUUAAUAUAAGCAUGCACACAUGUUUCUCCAUGUCCAUUCAGAACUGCACUAACACUGAGAGAGACAGAGGAGAGAGGAGUCCUACACACAGAGAGAGCGGACAAGAUGGAGGGAGGCGGAGAGAGGGGGUGAAUGGCUGUGUGGAGAGAGAGGGAAGUGGGGAAAAGGGAGUUUUCAGAAAUAGAGUGGGAGAACAAGCAAUCAAAGAGAGCAAGAGACAGGUAUAGAAAGAGAUAAAGGGAAAAGAUAAAGGUAUAUUGAGAGAGAGAGAGGCAGAGAGAGAGAGAGAGGCAGAGAGAGAGAGAGAGAGGCAGAGCAGGCAUGCAGAGGCAUAGAAAGAGAUAAAGGGGCAAGAGAAAGGUAUAUUGAGAGAGAGAGAGCGAGAGGGAGAGAGAGAGAGCGGCAGGCAUAGAAAGAGAUAAAGGGGAAAGAGAAAGGUAUAUUUAGAGAGCGAGAGAGAGAGAGAUAGGUAUAGAAAGAGAUAAAGGGGCAAGAGAAAGGUAUAUUUAGAGAGAGAGAGAGAGAGAGAGCGAGAGAGAGAGGCAGAGAGAGAGAGAGCGGCAGGCAGGCAUAGAAAGAGAUAUAUAUUUAGAGAGAGAGAGAGAGAGAGAGAGAGAGGUAUAGAAAGAGAUAAAGGGGCAAGAGAAAGGUAUAUUUAGAGAGAGGGAGAGAGAGAGGAGAUAUAUUUAGAGAGAGAGAGAGAGAGAGAGGCAGGGGCAGAGAAAGAGAUAAAGGGGAAGGUAUAUUUAGAGAUAAAGGGGCAAGAGGAAGGUAUAUUUAAAGAGAGAGAGAGAGAGAGAGAGAGAGAGAGCGGCAGGCAGGCAUAGAAAGAGAUAAAGGGGCGAGAGGAAGGUAUAUUUAGAGAGAGAGAGAGAGCGAGAGAGAGCGAGGGUAAUACUGAGAGCACACUAGCAACCUCCAGUGCUGAGUGAGUGCUAACACCACAGUGUUAUGGGGCAGAGGAUCAUGUGGACUGUGAGGGAUAGAGACAGAGCCUGGAGAUAGGCCAAUGGAUCAAUACUAUAGUAUCUACUUAUACAGGCAGAUCAAUGACCUCCCAGAACAACCUGAGCAGACAUACAGUUCCAGAUGGAAAACUUCUGGCUAUGAUAUGGGAUAUACAGCUUUAAUCUGUGUACAUACCAAGCAUACCAGAAAGCAUCCCUGCACUUCCUUGGCCUGAAGUUGGAAUAGUAACUGGAUCCCCCUGAAUGCGUUUAAGGGGAAAUGGCAGCCAUAGCAUUAGUAGUGCUAACUGUUAGUUGAGGUUAUAGUAGCAGAAGUGGUGGUAGACAUGGUUCUCCCAUGGCAGUAGCCACAUGGUGCUUAAAGAGGAAGUGCAGAGCGUAAACAGGGGGUCAUUGUAUUUCACAAAGAUAAAGGACAUGGCUACCCCCUCUCUGUCUCCCCGUUUGGAGGGACUGCUAGGGGACAUAAAAGAGUCAUUACUCAGCCCAAAAUUCUACCUCAAGUAAUCAAAACGUAUCUAACAUCACGGUGCCAACUGGUUUCCCCUCAGACACACAGUACACAUUUACUAAAAGUAGUACACAACCAACACAGUUACUUAGAUCAGGCAGGGGGGGCACUUUUGAGUGACUGACAGCUGAUCUGGGAAACAACACACACAAUACACUCUAAUCUCUGUGAGAGACCGACUGUUCAUCAGGGAUCAUAAGUAUCCCACUCCCCACCAAGUGCAAUGGGUCCUACAACAAAUGGUUCCUCUAAGACACACAGGACAGAAGACACAUUUUGUUUAAAGACAGGAGUUUCAGUCUGUGGAUGCUAGGAAUGGUGUGGGGCCGCGAGGACAGGUAGAAGAUAGGGAUCUCAUGAGCACAGAAACAUGUCACACAGAAGGUCACAGUGACACACACAAACACACAGGCAUACACACACAGACGCACACAAAUACAAAACACACACACAAACACAGAAAUACACACAAAUCAAAGCAACACAAAUGUGUGUGUCCUUCUAACGUUGUCGUCCAGUCGGAGACAUGAUGGACUGCAGACAAUUUUAUCUUUUCAAAUUAAAUAAUGUCUUUCCGAAAAACAAAAUCUUGGAAUGAUAGAAAAAUUCAAUAUAAUGGUGAAAUCCUUCCCUGUAGGAUACAUUUCCAGUAAGUGCACUCCAAGCCGAGCAGGUCCGUCCUCAUCACAGUUCCCCUGUAGAGUCCUCUGGGGUAAAGUCUGCCAGUAUGUCCAAACAGGGGAACACUAUUCCUGUAACAUCCCAAGGCGCUCAAAUAGUUCAGGUCUUCAAGUACUCACAGUCACAUCCUUAGUGGAUCGUAAAAAAAUGGUAUGGAUAAAUUCCUUUCUGGAUGAUUAUAUUACACAAACCCCCAAAACCAAACAAAUGGAAAAAUAAAAGCAAAUUCACAUUAAUGAGCACCAUGAAGAAGGUGACAAAAUAAUGAGGCGAAGGGACACAUUUCAAGGUUACGUAACAUGCUUCAGCAGAUGGGUUCAUCCACAUUUCUCCCUCCCCUGACAUCAAUAAUAACGACCGGCAAAGGUUCCUUCCUCCAGCUAAAAGAAGCCAGAAAAGCCCAGAUCCAGAGGGUAGGCCCAAACCACUAGAGUCUCCACAACUGAUGUUUGUCCUGCUGGAAACACGACAUGGAUGUUUCUUAACUACACUUGUAUACGAAUGGCCUAAAGUAAAGCAUUGGCAUGGUUUGUCUUUUGAAGUCCAUACAGAGCAGAAACCUUAGGCCCAGGUUUGAUUGGAGGGAGAAAUGUGCAUCAUCACACUCCUUCUGGAUGAAUUACUGGCACUAACCUGAAGCACUGUGUGUGUGUGUGUGUGUGUGUGUGUGUGUGUGUGUGUGUGUGUGUGUGUGUGUGUGUGUGUGUGUGCGUGUGUGCGUGUGUGUGUGUGUGUGUCAGAGAUCUAAGUGUUGCUUGUAUAGAGUGUAGAUUCUGUAUUCCUGUGCUUCGUUGCGACAGGACAGGAGUUGGAAUAUUCAGCAGUAGCAGUAGAAUAGCAGUCGAUGUGUCUCCUUAUCUCUCUUUGUUUGAUGGAGAGAAUUAUUCACAGAUGAGCAGAAAGAAAGGAAAGUCUGGAACUGGAAAGAUGAUAAUAACCUGGGGAGAAGAGGAAAAAGAGAGAGAUAAAGCAGGAGACAGUGCAGAUGAGAAGAUACAUAAACAGAGAACACAGCCUUAGAGUACAGUAAGUCAGGGGGUGAGGUACAUAACAUCUAGAUGGUACAGAUACUCUUGCCUCACAGCUCGUUAAUCUAACAGCCUCUGAGUCUCAGCUGGAUCACAUUCACCAAGAUUAUAAUCACAAAGCUGUGGUUAUAUAGGUCCCUCCAAAGAAAGCUAUGGAAUAUUGAAAAAUUGUGUGUCAGGGUUGGGGUCCACUUCAAUAAAGGCAAUGCAGGAAAUCAAUUCAAUCUAAUUCAUGAAGCAGAAAUUGCCCGUCCUUUAUAAUGACGAUGUUUUCUAAAUCAUACAACUAAUUUAUC
ensembl:lncRNA